rnacentral:rRNA from 1 species
AUAGCCUGCAUGUCUAAGUAUAAGCAAUUAUACCGCGAAACUGCGAAUGGCUCAUUAUAUAAGUUAUCGUUUAUUUGAUAAUACUUUACUACUUGGAUAACCGUGGUAAUUCUAGAGCUAAUACAUGCUGAAAAUCCCGACUUCGGAAGGGAUGUAUUUAUUAGAUUAAAAACCAAUGCCACUCGGGGCUCUCUGGUGAAUCAUGAUAACUAGUCGAAUCGACAGGCCUUGUGCCGGCGAUGGCUCAUUCAAAUUUCUUCCCUAUCAACUUUCGAUGUUUGGGUAUUGGCCAAACAUGGUGGCAACGGGUAACGGAGGGUUAGGGCUCGACCCCGGAGAAGGAGCCUGAGAAACGGCUACUACAUCCAAGGAAGGCAGCAGGCGCGCAAAUUACCCAAUCCCGACACGGGGAGGUAGUGACAAUAAAUACUGAUACAGGGCUCUUUUGGGUCUUGUAAUCGGAAUGAGUACAAUUUAAAUCCCUUAACGAGGAACAAUUGGAGGGCAAGUCUGGUGCCAGCAGCCGCGGUAAUUCCAGCUCCAAUAGCGUAUAUUAAAGUUGUUGUGGUUAAAAAGCUCGUAGUUGAACCUUGGGCCUGGCUGGCCGGUCCGCCUCACCGCGUGCACUGGUCCGGCCGGGCCUUUCCCUCUGCGGAACCCCAUGCCCUUCACUGGGUGUGGCGGGGAAACAGGACUUUUACUUUGAAAAAAUUAGAGUGCUCAAGGCAGGCCUAUGCUCGAAUACAUUAGCAUGGAAUAAUAGAAUAGGACGUGUGG